CUACACUGGGUGGCGAAGUUCCACACGGAAAUUGUGAUUAUUAUUAUUAUCGUAAAAGAUACAGCUGGUAAAGUGUUGAGAUGAAGUUGUUAUUUGCCUUGUUGUUCGUUACGGUGAAGAGUGGAUGGUCUGGGCAGUGCAACAAAUAUUAUGGCCCUGCUGGAGUUACAGGAUGCAUUCGGCUACCAAAAUACAAUAACCAAUACCAGUGGGCCACGUGCCUAACUGAUUCUUACAUCAAAC